GCGCCCUUAGCUCAGCUGGAUAGAGCAACGGCCUUCUAAGCCGUGGGUCGCAGGUUCGAGUCCUGCAGGGCGCG
rfam:Cronobacter sp. DJ34 Bact_A5_1, whole genome shotgun sequence.